UACGUAGGUGGCAAGCGUUGUCCGGAAUUAUCGGGCGUAAAGCGCGCGCAGGCGGUUUCUUAAGUCUGAUGUGAAAGCCCACGGCUCAACCGUGGAGGGUCAUUGGAAACUGGGAAACUUGAGUGCAGAAGAGGAAAGUGGAACUCCACGUGUAGCGGUGAAAUGCGUAGAGAUGUGGAGGAACACCAGUGGCGAAGGCGACUUUCUGGUCUGUAACUGACGCUGAGGCGCGAAAGCAUGGGGAGCGAACAGG
rnacentral:rRNA from 1 species